rnacentral:rRNA from 1 species
UGCAGUCGAGCGGACAGAUGGGAGCUUGCUCCCUGAUGUUAGCGGCGGACGGGUGAGUAACACGUGGGUAACCUGCCUGUAAGACUGGGAUAACUCCGGGAAACCGGGGCUAAUACCGGAUGGUUGUUUGAACCGCAUGGUUCAGACAUAAAAGGUGGCUUCGGCUACCACUUACAGAUGGACCCGCGGCGCAUUAGCUAGUUGGUGAGGUAACGGCUCACCAAGGCAACGAUGCGUAGCCGACCUGAGAGGGUGAUCGGCCACACUGGGACUGAGACACGGCCCAGACUCCUACGGGAGGCAGCAGUAGGGAAUCUUCCGCAAUGGACGAAAGUCUGACGGAGCAACGCCGCGUGAGUGAUGAAGGUUUUCGGAUCGUAAAGCUCUGUUGUUAGGGAAGAACAAGUGCCGUUCAAAUAGGGCGGCACCUUGACGGUACCUAACCAGAAAGCCACGGCUAACUACGUGCCAGCAGCCGCGGUAAUACGUAGGUGGCAAGCGUUGUCCGGAAUUAUUGGGCGUAAAGGGCUCGCAGGCGGUUUCUUAAGUCUGAUGUGAAAGCCCCCGGCUCAACCGGGGAGGGUCAUUGGAAACUGGGGAACUUGAGUGCAGAAGAGGAGAGU